rnacentral:rRNA from 1 species
CUAAGAUAUAGUAAGGAUUGACAGACUAAAAGAUCUUUCAUGAUUCUAUAAGUGGUGGUGCAUGGUCGUUCUUAGUUGGUGGAGCGAUUUGUCUGGUCAAUUCCGAUAACGGACGAGACCUCGACCUGCUAACUAGUAGUAUUUAUUAGUCGAUAUAGACGAUAGCUUUUCUGGGGUUUGGAAUGAUUUCGGUCAUCUCCUGCUUCAAGGAGUGUGUAGUCUGACUCGAUAGGUACGAAUUAAAACUUCUUAGAGGGACUACCUGCCUCAAGCAGGCGGAAGUCCGAGGCAAUAACAGGUCUGUGAUGCCCUUAGAUACCUUGGGCCGCACGCGCGCUACAAUGUAGGAAACAAAAAGGCUCCUGGUCCGGAAGGAUUGGGUAAUCAUUUGAAUUUCCUACGUAACUGGGCUUGAUCUUUGUAAUUAUUGAUCAUAAACGAGGAAUUCCUUGUAAGCGUAAGUCAUUACCUUAUGCUGAAUAUGUCCCUGCCCUUUGUACACACCGCCCGUCGCUCCUACCGAUCGAAUGAUACGGUAAAGUUAACGGAUCGUUUUAUCUGUGGCAACACUGAUAUAAAUUAAAAGUUAUUUAAAUCUCAUUGUUUAGAGGAAGGAGAAGUCGUAACAAGGUAUCCGUAGGUGAACCUGCGGAUGGAUCAUUUUUUAU